rnacentral:rRNA from 1 species
GGGGAAUCUUCCGCAAUGGGCGAAAGCCUGACGGAGCAAGACCGCGUGGGGGAAGAAGGCUCUUGGGUUGUAAACUCCUUUUCUCUGGGAAGAACAAAAUGACGGUACCAGAGGAAUCAGCAUCGGCUAACUCCGUGCCAGCAGCCGCGGUAAGACGGAGGAUGCAAGCGUUAUCCGGAAUGAUUGGGCGUAAAGCGUCCGCAGGUGGCAGUUCAAGUCUGCUGUCAAAGACCGGGGCUCAACCUCGGAAAGGCAGUGGAAACUGAACAGCUAGAGUAUGGUAGGGGCAAAGGGAAUUCCUGGUGUAGCGGUGAAAUGCGUAGAAAUCAGGAAGAACAUCGGUGGCGAAGGCGCUUUGCUGGACCAUAACUGACACUCAGGGACGAAAGCUAGGGGAGCGAAUGGGAUUAGAUACCCCAGUAGUC